rnacentral:tRNA from 1 species
GGGCCUAUAGCUCAGUUGGUCAGAGCACCCGGCUCAUAACCGGCGUGUCCCAGGUUCAAGUCCUGGUGGGCCCA